rnacentral:rRNA from 1 species
AUUGAACGCUGGCGGCAGGCCUAACACAUGCAAGUCGAGCGAGCGGCGGACGGGUGAGUAAUGUCUGGGAAACUUCCUGAUGGAGGGGGAUACCUACUGGAAACGGUAGCUAAUACCGCAUACCAUCAGAUGUGCCCAGAUUGGAGUCGAUAGUAGGUGGGGUAACGGCUCACAUAGGCGACGAUCCCUAGCUGGUCGGAGAGGAGGACCAGCCACACUGGAACUGUGACACGCUCCAGACUCCGACGUGCGGCAGCCGUGGGGAAUAUUGCACAAUGGGCGCAAGCCGGAUGCAGCCAUGCCGCGUGUGUGAAGAAGGCCUUCGGGUUGUAAAGCACUUUCAGCGGGGAGGCGUUACCCGCAGAAGAAGCACCGGCUAACUCCGUGCCAGCAGCCGCGGUAAUAC